rnacentral:rRNA from 1 species
CCUACGGGAGGCAGCAGUGGGGAAUAUUGGGCAAUGGGGGAAACCCUGACCCAGCAACGCCGCGUGAAGGAAGAAGGCUUUCGGGUUGUAAACUUCUUUUACCAGGGACGAAGGACGUGACGGUACCUGGAGAAAAAGCCACGGCUAACUACGUGCCAGCAGCCGCGGUAAUACGUAGGUGGCAAGCGUUGUCCGGAUUUACUGGGUGUAAAGGGCGUGUAGGCGGAGAAGCAAGUCAGAAGUGAAAUCCAUGGGCUUAACCCAUGAACUGCUUUUGAAACUGUUUCCCUUGAGUAUCGGAGAGGCAGGCGGAAUUCCUAGUGUAGCGGUGAAAUGCGUAGAUAUUAGGAGGAACACCAGUGGCGAAGGCGGCCUGCUGGACGACAACUGACGCUGAGGCGCGAAAGCGUGGGGAGCAAACAGG